ACGGGGAGCGCGGCAACGCGUGAUCCGCGGCCUGAGCGCGGCGGCCUCGGGGCUGCUGAGGGGAACCGAGGCGUCGCUCCCGACGAGGGACGGGCGGAGCUCCGCCGCUGCGAGCCCGGCUCUGCGAGGGCGUCGAGGAAAGCGAGGGCGGCCCGUGUGCGCGGCGGGUGUGUGGGGAGAACAGAGCCGUGAGAUGGAGGAGCCCCGGCCGGAAGAUGCGCGUUGUCAGACGCACAGAGCGGGGCUUUGCGGCCUGCACUGCUCACCCCGCACCGCACGGCUGGUUUCCUCCCGGCCACCCUUAUUGCAUAUAAACGGCAAAGAAUUUCCAGCUCUCUGCUGUGAAUCGUUAACCGGGAAACCCUCCAGGUACACGGGAACUGCUGCAGUGCUGCACUCAGACGUUUCUUCGUCCUGUGAAGGAUGCACAUCUCCCUCACCAGCCAGCCCCGCAGCACCUCGUGGGAACCCUUUGAGGUGCAGCUCCGUGAUGCUUCUCUUCAGGUUAUUAGGAACAACCUCCCCCAGGGCUCGGUCUGCUGCUAUCUGCUCCUGAUCAAAGGAUGCCAGAGGUGGUUUCCAGGCAGAAGACUGGCUUACGCAGCCUGUAAGCCAUCACAAGCACCAUAGAGGCCUUCUCCUGGGUGCCCUGCAGACACUGCUGCCCACCGGCCGCCAUCUGAAAGCUCACAGAUACCUGCUGGCAGCAGCAAGCUCACCCUGCACGGUGACCCUGCAGAUUAACUGAGCUGAUGAGGUUCACUGAUGGCAGCGGGGCUCAGCUGAAAAGUGAAGUUACAUGAUUAAAAGGUUUGAGUCUCUAACGCACACACUGGAUCGAUGCAUUAUCUUAAUAGCUAUCUUGUGAAAAUGUGAUGAUAAGCUUGGCCUCACGCGGUGAUAGCAGACUUUUUCCUACCUAACUUUUGGUUAUGAGUCUCAUACUUCUGCUAUGUGUUGGAACACACGCAUUUCAAAUUCUUGAUUAACUUGGAUCAGUCUUAAGAUUCAGCAUUCGUUUCCCUGUAUCUUUUCAAAGUGCCAGGCAACCUAUUUCAGGAGUAUGAUCUAGUGUGAUUCAGGAAGUAUGAUCUGGUGUCCAAAGGUUAUCCCAGCCUACUUAAUUGCAAGAUUGUAUGCAAUUAAAGUGGAUGUCCCUUGUAAACAACUUGCUCAUUGUUUUAUAAUCUCUGAAGAGUUUGGAUUUCAGCACAAAUUUUUUUAAAGCAGGCUGUCAGUUUAUGACGUUACCACUGUAACAAGCAGCUCUUGUUUCCAGAUUAAGUAUUAAGGCCCAAUCCAAAUCCCUUUAAACUCAAGAAGAAUGUUUUCAUUUAGGUAGUGGAUUGGGCUGCAGAAACAGGACGGCCCUUUGACUCAGCAGGUGAGCUGUAUGUGGGGGUGAAGGCACACGCUGGGAGAAAGCUGCCCUACUUUUUUCUCUGAUAUAUUUUUGCUAUAGAUGAAGAAUGGAUGUAGUUGCUAAACCGGUCAGAAACACUUAAAAACAAAUUAUGAUGUAAGAGAGUGGCAGAUACUCCUGCAAAACAAGUAUUACUAAGACACCUGAAACUGAAUAUAUAAAAAAAAAGUGGAAAUGUUUGGGUCAAGAAAAUGAACACUGUGGGGAAAAAAGCAUGAAGGAAGUGUAGGGGUAAAGAAAAUGCCAUCCUUUUACAGGCUACAGCUGAACUUAAAACCUUGACUUUAUUACUACCUUUCUACCCCUUUCCUUUAUACAGUGGUGUCCUUUGGAUUUACGUUCAUGUAUCACUGUCUUCCAGAGAUGAGAAAUAUGCUGUGACUUCUUCCUUCAUGGUAAUACCUGGUGUAACUGUGCUACUUUAGGGCAUUUGUGUGUCCUUAAGCAAAACCUGAAUUUGACGUUUGGGGGAACUUUGUAGUUUGAGAAGUUUGGUCAGAACUCUAACAUCAGCAUCCUCAAAACUGUCCUGGAGAUAAAAAGCCUGCACUUAAAAUGGGAGGAUCCUCAGUAGAUGGCUAAAUAGGUUUGCUUUCUCCAAGCAAAAAUAAAUGACUCCCCAGUUCAACGGCAGCAAAUUCAUCUUUAAUUUGCAGAACACUUGUUUCUUUCCUGUACUCCAUAUAAAAGAUUCUUUAAGGCUUCGGGAAAAUGAGAACAGGUUGCUUUUCUAUAUGCAAUAAUUUUCCUCUUGGAGCAUUCUUCUGGCUCCCUCCACCAUUCAGAGUGGGUGUACAUGUGAACUGACAAAUACUGCACAGCCUGUCUUCCAGCAGAACUCUGAGAUUAAUUAGUGGGAGGUAAUACCUUUGACAAAUUACCAUAUUCAAGCACAACACCUAUUACAUGUAACAAAGCUAACCCUUGUGCUUGCUUUCUGCCUUACUGGAAGAAUGCCUAGGAUUUCAGUUUCUUCUACCAUGUUUCAUUUAUCAAUAUGAGAGAUAAAAACACAGAAUAUCAGUCCCUUGUCAUCCCAAGGACAUCAGAUUA